rnacentral:lncRNA from 1 species
GAUUUGCCAGAGGGAACGGACCUCGUGCCCUCCCUCCUCGCGCUUUCCGGAUGUGGCAGUUUGGCUUCUAUCGCCCGAACCAAAUCCCUGCAAAACCCCAACAGGGACCCCAAAAAGCGAAGUCCCCGCCGGGGGCCCGUCCCACAUCAGCAGGAGAGGAAAUGAGCACAGCCCCCCCUGCGGAUCCCGAGGACACUGCGGGGAGGGCUGUCUGGGAUAAUCAUCCACUCACUUCCGAUCUCACAAGCCCCACCGGAUUCGUCCCUCAUCUCAGAUAUUCCUGUGUGUUUAAUGUGUAGCAAGCGAGCGGAAGACGGCCAGAUGGGCGUGGUUUCUGGCCCUGCAGCAAGAAGCGUUGUGAAGGUGCGGGAGGGGCAGGGCCUCUGCGCGUCCUGGCCCUGGCUACAGACAGACCCCUUGCCCUUGGGACACAGCCUUGGCCUCCUGUUACUGCUGCCCUCCUCCCUGGGCGCUCGCUGCCCCCUGUGGCCCGUGUCCGGCUCUGUACCUGCAGGACCUAGGUGACAGCACGCCUGUCAUCGGCUCUGGGAGGCUGAGGCAGGAGGAUCUUGAGCUUGAGCCCAGCCCGGGCAACUCAGUGAAACUCUGUCUCAAAAUAAACCAACUAAAAAAGGC